rnacentral:rRNA from 1 species
ACCUAUGGCUGUACCAGAUUGAAUGCAACUGGUCUCAUCUGAUCUUAGGAGCUGAACAUCCUAGGCCUAGCUAGGGCCACCGAAGAGUCCCAGCCAUUGGAU